rnacentral:rRNA from 1 species
AUUGAACGCUGGCGGCAUGCCUUACACAUGCAAGUCGAACGGUAACAGGUCUUCGGAUGCUGACGAGUGGCGAACGGGUGAGUAAUACAUCGGAACGUGCCCGAUCGUGGGGGAUAACGAAGCGAAAGCUUUGCUAAUACCGCAUAAGAUCUAAGGAUGAAAGCAGGGGACCGCAAGGCCUUGCGCGAACGGAGCGGCCGAUGGCAGAUUAGGUAGAUGGUGGGAUAAAAGCUUACCAAGCCGACGAUCUGUAGCUGGUCUGAGAGGACGACCAGCCACACUGGGACUGGGACACGGCCCAGACUCCUACGGGAGGCAGCAGUGGGGAAUUUUGGACAAAGGGCGAAAGCCUGAUCCAGCCAUGCCGCGUGCAGGAUGAAGGCCUUCGGGUUGUAAACUGCUUUUGUACGGAACGAAAAGACUCUGGUUAAUACCUGGGGUCCAUGACGGUACCGUAAGAAUAAGCACCGGCUAACUACGUGCCAGCCGCCGCGGUAAAAC